rnacentral:pre_miRNA from 1 species
AGAGAGACAAAUUCUAAAUUUUCGUGUCUAACGUUUGAUUGAUCGUCUUAUAUGAAUUUUUUUAAUUAGUAUUUUUAUUAUUGUUAGAUAAUAAAAUAUGAUUAAUACUUUAUGCGUAGCUUGUCUUUUUAUUUUUUUAUAUUUUUUCAAAUAAAACAGGUGGUCAAAUGUUGGACACGGAAACU